CGUGCUUACCAUGCAAGUCAAGGAGAAAGAGAAUCUUCGGAAUCUCCGGUAAACUGGCGCAAGGGUGAGUAACGCGUAGGCAACCUGCCCUGCAGUGGGGAAUAACAUGGGGAAACCUGUGCUAAUACCGCAUGAUAUCCCGAUUACACAUGUAAACGGGAUCAAAGAUUUAUCGCUGUGGGAUGGGCCUGCGUUCUAUUAGCUUGUUGGUAGGGUGAUGGCCUACCAAGGCUACGAUGGAUAGCUGGUCUGAGAGGAUGAUCAGCCACACUGGCACUGAGACACGGGCCAGACUCCUACGGGAGGCAGCAGUGAGGAAUAUUGGGCAAUGGGCGAAAGCCUGACCCAGCAACGCCGCGUGGGUGAUGAAGCUCUGAGGAGUGUAAAACCCUGUUAGGAGGGAAGAAACUUCCGAUUUAUCGGAACUGACGGUACCUCCAGAGAAAGCUCCGGCUAACUCCGUGCCAGCAGCCGCGGUAACACGGGGGGAGCAAGCGUUGUCCGGAUUUACUGGGCG
rnacentral:rRNA from 1 species